rnacentral:rRNA from 1 species
UACGUAGGUGGCAAGCGUUGUCCGGAUUUACUGGGCGUAAAGAGCGCGCAGGCGGUCGUUCAAGUCGCGUUGUGAAAGCCCCCGGCUCAACUGGGGAGGGCCACGCGAUACUGAUCGACUCGAAGGCAGGAGAGGGUAGUGGAAUUCCCGGUGUAGUGGUGAAAUGCGUAGAUAUCGGGAGGAACACCAGUGGCGAAGGCGACUACCUGGCCUGUUCUUGACGCUGAGGCGCGAAAGCUAGGGGAGCAAACGGGG